rnacentral:rRNA from 1 species
GACGAACGCUGGCGGCGUGCUUAACACAUGCAAGUCGAGCGGUAAGGCCUUUCGGGGUACACGAGCGGCGAACGGGUGAGUAACACGUGGGUGACCUGCCCUGCACUUCGGGAUAAGCCUGGGAAACUGGGUCUAAUACCGGAUGGGACCAUUCCAUGCAUGUGGGGUGGUGGAAAGUCGGUGCUGUUGUGGUGUCGGCGGUGGGGGAGUGGGCCCGCGGUCUAUCAGCUUGUUGGUGGGGUGGAUGGCCUACCAAGGCGACGACGGAUAGCCGG